GACAGAGGGUGCAAACGUUGUUCGGAAUUACUGGGCGUAAAGCGCGUGUAGGCGGCCAUGCAAGUCGGAUGUGAAAGCCCUCGGCUCAACCGGGGAAGUGCACUCGAAACUGCAAGGCUAGAGUCUCGGAGAGGAUCGUGGAAUUCGUCGGUGUAGAGGUGAAAUUCGUAGAUAUCGAGAGGAACACCGGUGGCGAAGGCGGCGAGUCUGGACGAUGACUGACGCUGAGACGCGAAAGCGUGGG
rnacentral:rRNA from 1 species